rnacentral:rRNA from 1 species
AGGGUGUAAACGCUGCAGACUUGGUGUUGGAGGCCCUUUGGGGGCAUUCAGUGCCGGAGAGAAGUUGUUAAGUCUGCUACUUGGGGAGUACGUCCGCAAGGAUGAACUUAAAGGAAUUGCGGGGAGCACCGCAACGGGAGGAGCGUGCGGUUUAAUUGGAUUCAACACCGUAAAACUCACCAGGGAAGACUGUCACAUGAAGGCCGAGAUGAAGACUCUGCUAGAUUUUCAGAGAGGAGGUGCAUGGCGUCAGUGACU